rnacentral:rRNA from 1 species
UCUUGCGCAAUGGACGAAAGUCUGACGCAGCCACGCCGCGUGAGUGGAGAAGGCCUUCGGGUUGUAAAGCUCUGUCGGAUGGGACGAACAUCUUCAUAGUGAAUAGCUAUGAGGACUGACGGUACCAUCAAAGGAAGCACCGGCUAACUCCGUGCCAGCAGCCGCGGUAAUACGGAGGGUGCAAGCGUUGCUCGGAAUUAUUGGGCGAAAGGGCAAGUAGGUGGUCUCAUUUGUCUGGGGUAAAGCCUUAGCUAACUCAAGAAGUGCCUCAGAACGGUAGCUCAGUUCUGAGAGGGUCGUGAAUUCCCGGUGAGCGGUAAAUGCGAGUUUUGAGAACACCAUGGCAAGGAGCCCCCUGGCAACUCUGCGUAUGCAAUUGU